rnacentral:rRNA from 1 species
UGGGGAAUAUUGCGCAAUGGGGGGAACCCUGACGCAGCCAUGCCGCGUGAAUGAAGAAGGCCUUCGGGUUGUAAAGUUCUUUCGGUAUUGAGGAAGGUUGAUGUGUUAAUAGCACAUCAAAUUGACGUUAAAUACAGAAGAAGCACCGGCUAACUCCGUGCCAGCAGCCGCGGUAAUACGGGGGGUGCGAGCGUUAAUCGGAAUAACUGGGCGUAAAGGGCACGCAGGCGGUUAUUUAAGUGAGGUGUGAAAGCCCCGCUUAACCUGGGAAUUGCAUUUCAGACUGGGUAACUAGAGUACUUUAGGGAGGGGUAGAAUUCCACGUGUAGCGGUGAAAUGCGUAGAGAUGUGGAGGAAUACCGAAGGCGAAGGCAGCCCCUUGGGAAUGUACUGACGCUCAUGUGCGAAAGCGUGGGGAGCAAACAGGAUUAGAUACCCUGGUAGUCCACGCUGUAAACGCUGUCGAUUUGGGGGUUGGGGUUUAACUCUGGCGCCCGUAGCUAACGUGAUAAAUCGACCGCCUGGGGAGUACGGCCGCAAGGUUA